rnacentral:lncRNA from 1 species
GAAAAUGACUUGGCAGCUUCAUCCGGAGGCGGCAGAAACAGGGCAAGAGCAUCGCGGUCUGGAAGUGGGUCCAGGUUAUUUAAGACCUUAAAUGUUCAUUCAGUGCAGUGGGGAUUAUUGCGAAUGUUAUGGAGCUGGAUUUAAAGACGGGAUUAUGCGCUGUACCUGCAAACGCCCCGUAAUACACGUAGCCCCCUGCUCCAGCCUCCUUGCCCUAUUGCUGAUGACGGUGCAGAUGACAGUUUCUUUGCAGAAGAUCCCCCUGAUUUUGCAGACCUUGAAGGAACUGAGCUAAGCGACCUCGAAGGCACUUUUAUACAGGUGGAAGAGAAGAUCGCUGAAGACGCUGAAGCCGAGGUUGAAGGUAUAAUACACAACAUGGGCUGAUGUUGAAUUGCAGUGAAUGAGGUGCCCGGUGAGGGCAAAGACGGAGCCGUGCCCUUCUGACCACUCACUGCAUGGAAUUGAACCCCUUGUCUGUGGCUUGUCUGUGGCACGGGCCUGCUUGCUCAGUUUGGGUUUUUCACUAGCCAAAAUCAUCCUGUGGAAAGGGUACACUGGCAAUAUUACUGUCAGCUGGAGCCAGAUAUGAAGGGCUGGUCCUUACCGGUCAUUAGUCUUGUUGAUUAAACCAACCCUGAUGUGAAAUAGGAGCUUCUCCUUCAAGCGAAGGAGAAACGCAGGGUGGGGAAAAGGAUUUUCAUUGCUGCUUUGUUCACUUUGGGAAAUAAUCUGUCACAUAAAGUGCAUGCUAAUGUCAUGUUUUAGGAGGUAAUGGAUGGUUAAUGAAAAUUAGCUGUGGAGCUGCUAUCGCAGCCUGAGAGAGCGAUGCUAAUUCCUG